rnacentral:rRNA from 1 species
GUAAUUAAGUGCAUGUGGUGGAUGCCUUGGCAGUCAGAGGCGAUGAAAGACGUGAUAGCCUGCGAAAAGCUCCGGGGAGGCGGCAAAUAUCCUUUGAUCCGGAGAUGUCUGAAUGGGGGAACCCACCUACUUUAAGGUAGGUAUUGCAACAUGAAUACAUAGUGUUGCAAGGCGAACGAGGGGAAGUGAAACAUCUCAGUACCCUUAGGAAAAGAAAUCAAUUGAGAUUCCCUCAGUAGCGGCGAGCGAACGGGGAUCAGCCCAUUAAGUUAUGUGUGUUUUAGUGGAACGCUCUGGGAAGUGCGAACGUAGAGGGUGAUAUUCCCGUACACGAAAGGGCACACAUAAUGAUGACGAGUAGGGCGAGGCACGUGAAACCUUGUCUGAAUAUGGGGGGACCAUCCUCCAAGGCUAAAUACUCCUGACUGACCGAUAGUGAACCAGUACCGUGAGGGAAAGGCGA